rnacentral:rRNA from 1 species
UUCGUAGGGGGCAAGCGUUGUCCGGAUUUAUUGGGCGUAAAGAGCGUGUAGGCGGCCAGGUAGGUCCGUUGUGAAAACUCGAGGCUCAACCUCGAGACGCCGAUGGAAACCAUCUGGCUAGAGUCCGGAAGAGGAGAGUGGAAUUCCCGGUGUAGCGGUGAAAUGCGCAGAUAUCGGGAAGAACACCCGUGGCUAAGGCGGCUCUCUAGUACGGUACUGACGCUGAGACGCGAAAGCGUGGGGAGCGAACAGG